rnacentral:rRNA from 1 species
AUUGAACGCUGGCGGCAUGCCUUACACAUGCAAGUCGAACGGCAGCACGGGUGCUUGCACCUGGUGGCGAGUGGCGAACGGGUGAGUAAUAUAUCGGAACGUACCUUAUUGUGGGGGAUAACGCAGCGAAAGUUGCGCUAAUACCGCAUACGCCCUGAGGGGGAAAGCGGGGGACCGUAAGGCCUCGCGCGAUUAGAGCGGCCGAUGUCUGAUUAGCUUGUUGGUGAGGUAAAAGCUCACCAAGGCGAUGAUCAGUAGCUGGCCUGAGAGGACGAUCAGCCACACUGGGACUGAGACACGGCCCAGACUCCUACGGGAGGCAGCAGUGGGGAAUUUUGGACAAUGGGGGCAACCCUGAUCCAGCAAUGCCGCGUGAGUGAAGAAGGCCUUCGGGUUGUAAAGCUCUUUUGUCAGGGAAGAAACAGCAGCUCUAACACAGUCUGCGAAUGACGGUACCUGAAGAAUAAGCACCGGCUAACUACGUGCCAGCCGCCGCAGUAA